AGGGUUAAAAUUUCUAAAAGUUAGUCAUGAACAAAGUCCAGACAUGCCUGAGAGAAUUUGAGAUAGGGCUCACUGGCCCGACUAUCAACUCCCAAGGACACUGGCCAUCUGGAGCCACCCCCUCCCCUUCCUUCACUCCCUGAGGAUGGGUCAUCCCCCUGCUGCAGUGAGAUAAGUUGCCCUGCCCACAUUGCUGAGAUGCUAGAUUACACGUAUGCUUUGUUGAUGUAACUCCGUGCCAAAAGUAACUGUGCACCCUUUGUAUUAGCCAAUUAUGUGUAUCCACACGAAACCCCUGGUUUUCCCUAUAUAAGCUCCUGCCUAGAGAGGCUCAGGGCUUGACUCAAUCUCCUGUGUGAGAUACGUGUCAGCCCGAGAUCUCGUAAAUAAAACUGCCUCUUGUUGAUUACAUCAAGACCGGCUUCUCGUGUUUCCUGGGGGUACCUCAACCCGUGACUGGAGCGAGAGUCUCCCCAAGUCUGGGGGUCUUUCAUUGGGGGCUCGUCCGGGAUAGGAGCAUGACCCCCGGAGACCCGAAUGCCUCUUGGAGAUGGCGGAAGUGAGGACGCCCCAGUUCUGGGAGACGUCCCACGAGCCGACUUUUGUCGGGAGGACCCGGCAGGUGACAGUCAAAGAGAUCUGACUGUGACUUGACUUCGGAGGUCGUGUUCGGCUGCCUAUUUAAGUAUAGGCAUGGACAAGUGUGCUUAGAUGUGUUAGUGUCUGUUGUCUGUAUUCUGUUUCUGUGUUUGGUAUCCCAGAAGCAGCUAAGGUUAAGCUGCAGUUUGGGCCAGGUACUGAAGGUACCAGGCAUCUGUGGAAAUUGGUUAUAGGAUGCUUUGUCUUUGUCUUGUUUGUCUGGUUUGUUUUCUGUGGUAUUGUCCAGUGUCUUUUUGGCUUUUGUUUCGUUUUUGGACUUGGACUGAUAACUGUGUUUGAAAUCUUGGACUGACGACUGUGUUUGAAAUCAUGAAACUGUUUGUUUUGUUUGUCAAGGAGUUUUACUUGGUCCUCUUGGUGCUUAACUUAAAAGUUAAAAAUAAUUUGCUUGAGAGAAAUUGUUUUCUGCCGGGGAGUUUUAUCUUUCUCUCUUGAGCCUCCUCCCCAAGGAGAGCUGCCCCUCUCUUUACUCCCAUUGUCCAGCCCAGCUGCUGUUAACCGUAGUGUAUGAAGGACUCCAGGUUAGCGAGUGAUCCGUCUGAAGCAGGCAUUAACAAGAACCUGAAAGCUUUACCUUAGAUCCUGAAGAAAAAUUCUCCCUGUGGCUUAAACAUUCACAGCUUCUAAGGAAGGGACAACACAGAGUAGGAAAAUGUAGGGGCUGAGGGUUGUGAGCAUACAGGCCUACUAGCAAGCUACAGGCUGCGCGUGGGCAGCAGCGCAGCUCUGGCCAAGUGAGCGCAAGAGGAGUUUCAAGGUAAGGAGGCUGGCUGGGGUUGGCGCUUUGACAACAAAGAUAGCGUAGAGUUAGUGGUUGUAUUAUGAGACUUUUGGCCCUGAAAAAAAAAAAUUCCAGUUGCUGCCUUCAGUGGCCAGACCUUCAACACUUGCUCACAAAAGGAGAGUAUUAAGAGAAGUUCUUUAAGGGAGCCUGCCUUAUCUGCUGGCCCUAUUCCAAGAGAGGAGUUGAUCUCCAACAUUAAGUAACCUUCCCUGUUAGUCAUCAUUGACAUGGAGAGUGCCUUUGAUCCUAUCCCCACAGCAGCCAGUUCCUGCCCCUGUGGUCAAAAUGCCCCAGGUUGGGGGGCAGAGAAGCCCCUAAAAUAGUUUCAAAGAAUCUGCAACAAACUGUGAAGAACUUUGUUUUGCCAGUCAAAAUUUAGAAUUCAGUCUUUGGCUGUGGCCAAGGUCAGGAUUAAUGUUUUCUUUUCCAUGGGCCUUUAACCCAGUGAGACAGCUUGGUAAAGGACUACUACUACAGUCCUGAUAGCCCCAGGUGAACUGGUUACAAUUUCUUUUGUCAGCCACUUAGUAUCUAACACCCAGGUUCUAACCCUCUCUCCACCCUUUUGUUAUUAGUUCUUACUAGAAGCCUAGUGUCCUUCAGAGGCUGGGUUUACUGAGAGACAGAGCCACUGAGCUGGCACUGAAGGGAGGUACUUCUUAAGUAAAAUCUAAGUCCAGAGAGAUAGUCGAUAACAGAUCAGCUGCCUCUCUGCUUGCCUUUCUGUUUCACAGGAACAAAGCUUGUGCUUAUUUCUACAACGGCCUUUUUGUCCCAAGAAGGCCUCCUGGUUUAGCUGUGUGACUAAAUGCUAUUUGUCCUCUUCAGUGGACCUCUAUUCUCAAGAUUCCCUUGUUUUCUCACCAUCCCAUUUGAGAUGCUUGUUAGUAACUGUUACAGGUCUUCUUUACCACCGAGGAAAGACGGAAUCCUACUAGAGGCCAGAAAAAAUGUUCCAGACACGGAUGGAAGGCCCUCACUUCUGCCUGUUGACUUCAAAACGCCUAAAGGUAGGGAGUGCCAGGUCUGCCGCCAGGCUCCAAGGGUGGAUCUCAGAGGGGCUAGAAAAUGCCCCACCAAUUUGGCUAAAGUAAGAAAAAGAUAUAAAGAAAAAGUUACAGAAACUUGAAGGGUUAAGCUAAGUCACUGAGAGAGUUGUUGUAAGUUGCAGAGAAAAUAAGGUUGAUAUAUGGUUCAGGGUCGGUGCACAAAAGUAGACAACAACUAAUAGCUGUAGAAGAAGAUACAGACAGAGAGACUGAGGAAGAGAAAGAGAAAAGAAGGUAAAAAGAACAGGAAGCUAAGGAAGAAAAGAGACAAGAGAGGAACAUAUACUGGCCACAGUAGUUAGGGAACCUAGGAAGAUAGUACCUGGCAACAGAAGAGAAUUCCUGGCUAAAGAUCGGUGUGCCUAAUACGAAGAAAAAGGACACUGGGUCAGGGACUGCCCAAGAAAGAACAAGAGGGGCCACUGGAGAGCUUCUUGGUCCUAGAGUGCUGGCUAUGUACAGAGAUAGAAGGGAAGUGUGGAUACAGGGACCCAAUGCUCUGUGCUCCUAUGUCCCCCCACCAGUGGGCCAAUAUCCAAAGACCUUGAGUGCAAGGGGCUACUGACAACGAACAAUAUUUAUGGACUGCCCGAAGAACAGUGGACCUUGGCGUGGGCCGGGUAACCCACCCACUAGUUCAUGGUCAUCCCUGACUGCCCCUAUCCCUUGCUCAUGAGAAAAUUGCUCUCCAAAAUGGCUUGUGUGGGCUAAAAUGGCUGGGUGAGGCCAUGUGUAUACAUAUCUACAGACUGUGUAUGUGGAGCUUAAGACCUGUCUCAGUGCACCAGUACCUGAUGCUGGGAGAUGUGUGUGUGUGGCUUAGUGCCGUUCUGCCUGGAACACAUCAUUCCUGCCAGCCAGGCUCUGACAAUUAUCACCCAAUCCAGGACUUAAACUGCGGUAGAGUGGCUGAUGUUUUGCCUUUAAAUGAAAUGUACCAGAGGAUGGGAUCACUGAUCAGCUGACAUGGACUAGAUUCUCCACCUGUUGGGGGUAAUCUGGUCACCUUGCUGCCCAAUCCUGACCUGGAGCCACCACAGCACAAGUGUCAAGCACUGACAGAAGCCCAUGGGUGGAGGAAAGACCUCUGCGACUGGCUGACUGACCCCUGAUGAAAGCCGAGGACCUUGUCCACAGACGGGAACAGUUCUCUUCAUGAAGGUCAGAGAUAAGUGGGUGCUGCCGUGGUGGACAACACAAUGUCAUCUGGGAUGGCUGAACUUCUACCCCCCAACACAUCAGCACUGCAGAUGCCUUUACCAUCUCUUGGAUGCCCUGGUGAAGCCAACAACUGUGAGUACUAUUCAUUGCUCAGGAUAUCAGAAGGAAGAGAUUCAGUGGCAUGGGACAGUAACAAAGCAGAUAAAGUGGCUCGAAAAAUGGCUAUGCAGGAGCCUAUCCUGGUUACAGGCCUACAAGAGACAGCCACUGGGAACUGGGAUUGGACUAAGGGAUGGCCUCACUUAAAAUGUACAAUGGAAGAAAAGGCCCAAAUUGCUUAAACGAAAAAAAAAAAAAAGACAAUGACACACUUGAGGGAAAACUAUAUUCCUCAGAGAAAGGUAUGUCAAUAAGUAAAUGCUUAACAAGAAACAGGACAAAGAGACCUAGAGAGUUUAGUCAAAAGUCGAAGUGAACUUCACUGAGAUAAAACCAGGAAAAUAUGAUCACAAGUAUCUCCUAGUGCUUGUAGAUACCUUUUCAGGAAUAGACAAAAACUUUCCUCACCAAACAAGAGACGGCCUCUACAAUCAUCAAGAAGAUACUGGAAGAAAUCUUUCCCCCAAUUUGGAAUGCCCAAGGUAAUCUGGUCAGACAAUGGCCCUACUUUCGUUGCCAAGGUAAGCCAGGGUGUGGCCAAGUAUUUAGAGGUCGAUUGGAAAUUACAUUAUAUUUACAGACCUCAAAGUUCAGGACAGGUAGAAUAAAUAAAUAAGACUCUAAAAGAGACCCUGUUCAAAUUGACCAUGGAGACUGGCGCAGACUGGGUGACACUCCUUCCCUCUUGCUCUCUUCAGAGCAAGAAAUACCCUUUCCAGAUUCAGCCUUAUCCCCUUUGAGAUCUUAUAUGGGGCCUCAGCUCCCCUGACUGUAUUAGAUGAUGUUACUGAACCAACAUGUCAUAGUAAUAAUGAUUUAUGUGCCAGGCUAAAAGGCCUACAGGUGAUACAGAAAGAAAUCUGCUCACAGCUGGCAGCAGCCUAUGCCCCAGGGACCUCUGAGACAUCUCAUCCGUUCCAAGUUGGAGACUGUAAAUAUAUACAAUGACAUGGAGCCCAGACACUCAAGCCUCGCUGGAAAGGACCGUACCUGGUGCUGCUGACCACCCUGACAGCCGUCAAUUCUCAGCCCUCACCAGCCGCAUACUAGCUGUUGGGGCUGAGAGUUGGGACCUAGAGGGACACUCAGAUCUUCAAAAAGCUCCCUAGACUUACACAUCAGAUAAGUGACUGGGAGGUUGUUAUAAUGCUCACUUGAGGAGUGUGCUUUAGAAACAAGAAUUUCAUGUUUGCCCUGGGUUCCAUUGAGAAAAAUAUAGAGAUAGGCUUGAUUUCUAUUACAAAUGAUGUAACAUUACAUAUGUUAAUACUCCUAACACUUCUUGGGGCUGUGCCUCAGGGACCAUAAGUUUAAAAGUUCUAAGAUAGUCAUGACCUUGGUGUAUAGGUUUAGAUAGUGUUCAGAUUGGAAUCCUAAAGACUUUUUAGCUGACCUCCAAGAAUACCUAACCUCCCUCUCAGAGGUAGUCCUUCAAAAUAGGAGAAGAUUAGACCUGAUAUUCCUUAAAGAAAGAGGGCUAGGUGCCGCUUUGAGAGAAGAAUGUUGUUUUUACCUCGAUCACUCCGGGACCAUUAAAGAUUCUAUGGCUAAACUUAGGGAGAGGCUGGACAAGAGACGACGAGAACGAGAAACCACUGAUAACUGGUUUCAAAGCUGGUUCGAUAGGUCCCCAUGGCUUACCACCCUGCUGUCAGCCUUAGCUGGUCCCUUGAUUAUCCUCCUCCUUUUGCUCACUUUUGGGCCCUACAUCGUUAAUCGCCUUUUAGCUUUUGUUAGGGAGCGGAUUAGUGCUAUACAUGUCCUUAUGUUGAGACAACAGUAUCGGGCUGUAUCGGGCUAUACGGGAUAAAGAGCCUCUAGACGCUAGACUCGUAGUCCUAAGAUUAGGACUAUUCACAAGGAAUAGAGGGGAAUGAAGGGUUAAAAUUUCUAAAAGUUAGUCAUGAACAAAGUCCAGACAUGCCUGAGAGAAUUUGAGAUAGGGCUCACUGGCCCGACUAUCAACUCCCAAGGACACUGGCCAUCUGGAGCCACCCCCUCCCCUUCCUUCACUCCCUGAGGAUGGGUCAUCCCCCUGCUGCAGUGAGAUGAGUUGCCCUGCCCACAUUGCUGAGAUGCUAGAUUACACGUAUGCUUUGUUGAUGUAACUCCGUGCCAAAAGUAACUGUGCACCCUCUGUAUUAGUCAAUUAUGUGUAUCCACACGAAACCCCUGGUUUUCCCUAUGUAAGCUCCUGCCUAGAGAGGCUCGGGGCUUGACUCAAUCUCCUGUGUGAGAUACGUGUCAGCCCGAGAUCUCGUAAAUAAAACUGCCUCUUGUUGAUUACAUCAAGACCGGCUUCUCAUGUUUCCUGGGGGUACCUCAACCCGUGACUGGAGCGAGAGUCUCCCCAAGUCUGGGGGUCUUUCAGUUGAAUUGUAUCAAAAGCUUUAUCAGCAUUUAAUAAGAUGAUCAUGUAGCUUUUUUCUUUGAGUUUAUUUAUAUAGUGUAUUAUGUUGAUGGAUUUCUAUAUAUUGAACCAUCUCUGCAUGCCUGGGAUGAAGCCUACUUGAUCAUGAUGGAUGAUCAUUUUGGUGUGUUCUUUGAUUUGGCCUGCAAGAAUUUUAUUGAAUAUUUUUGCAUAGAUGUUCAUAAGGAAAAUUGGUCUGAAGUUCACUUUCAUUGUUGGGGUUUUCUAUGGUUUAGGUAUAAGUGUAAUUGUGGCUUCUUAGAGGAAUUGGGUAGUGUUCCUUCUGUUUCUAUUUUGUGGAAUAGUUUUGACAGUACUGGUAUUAGGUCUUCUAUGAAGGUCUGAUAGAAUUCUCUUCUAAACCCAUCUGGUCCUGGGCUAUAUUUGGUUGCCAGACUUUUAAAAACUGCAUCUAUUACUUUAGGAGUUAUGAAACUGGUUAGAUGGUUUAUCUGAUCCUGAUUUAAAUUUGUUACCUGAUACCUGUCUAGAAAAUUGUCCAUUUCAUCCAGAUCUUCCAGUUUUGUUGAAUAUAGGCUUUUAUAGUAGGGUGUGAUGAUUUUUUGAAUUUUCUCAAAUUCUGUUGUUAUGUCUUAGUUUUAUUUCUGAUUUUGUUAAUUUGGAUACUCUUUCUGUACCCUCUGGUUACUCUGGCUAAGGGUUUUGUUGAUUUUCUCUCUCUCUCUCUCUCUCUCUCUCUCUCUCUCUCUCUCUCUCUCUCUCUCUCUCUCUCUUGGACCUUACUUUUUUUCCCCAUCUUUAUUAACUUGAGUAUUUCUUAUUUACAUUUCGAUUGUUAUUCCCCUUCCCAGUUUCUGGGCCAACAUCCCCCUAACCCCUCCCACUCACCUUCUAGAUGGGUGUUCCCCUCCUCAUCCAUCCCCUAUUACCGCCCCCCAACAAUUCCGUUCACUGGGGGUUCAGUCUUGGCAGGAUCAAGGGCUUCCCCUUCCACUGGUGUUCUUACUAGGCUGUUCAUUGCUACCUAUGAGGUUGGAGCCCAGGGUCAGUCCAUGUAUAGUCUUUGGGUAGUGGCUUAGUCCCUGGAAGCUCUGGUUGCUUGGCAUUCUUGUUCAUAUGUGGUCUCAAGGCCCUUCAAGCUCUUUCAGUCCUUUCUCUGAUUCCUUCAACGGGGGUCCUAUUCUCAGUUCAGUGGUUUGCUGCUGGCAUUCGCCUCUGUAUUUGCUGUAUUCUGGCUGUGUCUCUCAGGAGAGAUCUACAUCCGGUUCCUGUCGGCCUGCACUUCUUUGCUUUGUCCAUCUUAUCUAAUUGGGUGGCUGUAUAGGUAUGGGCCACAUGUGGGGCAGGCUCUGAACGGGUGUUCCUUCUGCCUCUGUUCUAAACUUUGCCUCUCUAUUCCCUGCCAAGGGUAUUCUUGUUCUCCUUUUAAAGAAGGAGUGAAGCAUUUGCAUUUUGGUCAGACUUCUUGAUUUUCUCAAAGAACCAGCUCUAGGUUUUACAAAUUAUUUGUUGAUUUUCUCAAAGAACCAGCUCUUGGUUUUGUUGAUUCUUUGUAUUUCUGUUUCUACUUGGUUCAUUUUAGUUCUGAAUUUGAUUAUUUUGUGCCAUCUACUUCUCUUGGGUGUAUUUGUUUCUUUUUGUUCUAGACCCUUCAGUUCUACUGUCAAGAUGUUAGUGUGUGCUCUCUCCAGCUUCCUUUUGGAGGAACUAUGAGCUAUGAGUUUUCAUGUUAGCAUUGCUUUCCAUGUAUUCCAUAAGUUUGGGUAUGUUGUGCCUUCAUUUUCAUUAACUUCUAAAAAAAUCUUUAAUUUCUUUAUUUCUUCCUUGACCAAGUUAUCAUUGAGUAGAGCAUUGUUCAGAUUUCAUGUAUAUGUGGGCUUUCUGUUGUUUUUGUUCUUAUUGAAGAUAAACCUUAGUCUAUGGUGAUCUGAUCAGAUGCAUGGGAUUAUCUCAAUCUUCUUUUAUCUGUUGAGGCCCAUUUUGUGAUAUAUUAUAUGGUCAGUUUUUGAGAUGGUACCAUGAGGUGCUCAGGAGAAGUUAUACUUCAUUGUUUUAGGAAGAAAUGUUAUAUGAUUAUCAUAUGUAUACAUAUGAUAAUCCACUUGGUUCAUAACUUCUGUUAGUUUCACUGUAUCUCUGUUUAGUUUCUGUUUUCAUGAUCUGUCUGUUGAUGAGAGUCCAUAAUUGAUGUCUCCCACUAUUAUUGUGUAAGUUCAGAUGUGUGCUUUGAGCUUUAGUAGAGUUUCUUUUAUGAAUCUGGGUGCCCUUGCAUUUGGAACAUAGAUGUUCAGAAUUGAGAGGUCAUCUUGAUAGAUAUUUUUUCCUUUGAUGAGUAUAAAUUGUCUUUUCCUUAUCUUUUUUGAUAACUUUUGGUUGAAAGUUGAUUUUAUUCCAUAGUAGAAUGGCUACCCUAGUUGUUUCUUGGGACCAUUUGCUUGGAAAAUUUUCCCCUGCCUUUACUGUGAGUUAGUGUCUGUCUUUGUCACUGAGGUGGCUUCACUGUAUGCAGAAAAUUCUGGGUCCUCUCUGAGUAUAUAGGCUGUUAGUCUAUGUAUUUUUAUUGAGGAAGUGAGUCCAUUCAUGUUAAGAGAUACUAAGGAAAAGUGAUUGUUACAUCCUGUUACUUUUGUUGUUAGAGGUGGAAUUAUGUUUAUGUGGCUAUCUUCUUUGGGGUUUGUUGAACAAAAAAACAAAGGAUUAAUUUAUUGCUUUUUCUAGGGUAUAGUUUCACUCCUUGUAUUGGAAUUUUCCAUCUAUUAUUCUUUGUAGGGCUGGAUUUGGGGGAAGGUAUUGUGUAAAUUUAGUUUUUUCAUAGAAUAUCUUCUUUUUUCAUCUAUGUUAAUUGAGGGGUUGGCUGGGUAUAGUAGCCUGGGCUGGCAUUUGUGUUCUGUUUGAGACUGUAUGACAUCUGCCCAGGAUCUUCUUACUUUCAUAGUCUCUGUUGAGAAGUCUGGUGUAUUUCUGAUAACUCUGCCUUUGUUUUUUUGUUUUUUUUUUGUUUUUUUUUUUUUUGGUUCUUUUUUUCGGAGCUGGGGACCGAACCCAGGGCCUUGCGCUUCCUAGGUAAGCGCUCUACCACUGAGCUAAAUCCCCAGCCCCAACUCUGCCUUUGUAUUUAACCUUUUCCCUUAUAGUUUUUUAAUAUUCUUCCUUUGUUUUGUGCAUCUGGUGUUUCAAUUAUUAUGUGACAGGAGGAAUUUCUUUUCUGGUCCAAUCUACUUGGAGUACUGUAAGCUUCCUGUACUCUCAUGGACUUUGAUUUCUUUAGGUUAGGGAAGUUUUCUUCUAUAAUUUUGUUGAAGAUAUUUACUGACCCUUUACAUUUGGCAUCUUCACUAUCUUCUGUAUCUAUUAGUUUAGGUUUGCUAUUCUCAUUGUGUCCUGGAUUUCCUGGAUGUGUAGGGGGAAGAGAUUUUACAUUUUGUAUUUUCUUUUCCUUUUUUCUGCUUAUUUAUGAUUUUAUUCAUAUUUUUAUUUAUAUUUCAAAUGUUAUUCUCUUUCCCCAUUUCCUGACCAUAAGCCCCAUAUCCCAUUCCUCUCCCCUUCUUCUAUAAGGGUGGUCCCCAUGCCCACCAACCCUGUUCCCUGCUUCCCCCCAACCCCGGAUAUUCCCCUGCAGUGGUGGCAUCCAGCCUUGGCAGAACCAAGGGCUUCUUCUCCCAUUGGUGCCCAAAAAGGCCAUCCUCUGCUACAUGUGCAGCUAGAGCCAUCGGUCUGUACAUAUGUAGUCUUUGGGUAGUGGUUUAGUCCCUGGGAGCUAUGGUUGUUUAGUAUUGUUGUUAUGGGGUUGUAAGCCCCUUCAGCUCCUUCAAUCCUUUCACUAAUUUGUCCAAUGGUGACCCUGUUCUUAGUUCAAUGGUUUUCUGCUAGCAGUCAUCUCUGUAUUUGACAUGUUCUGGCUGAGUCUCUCAGGAGACAGCUAUAUCAGGCUCUUGUCAGCAUGCACUUCGUUGCUUCAUCAAUCUUAUCUAGUUUUGGUGGCUGAAUAUAUAUGGGCUGUAUACCCAGGUGGGGCAGGCUCUGAAUGGCCUUUCCUUCAGUCUCUUCCCCAAACUUUGUCUCAAUAUUCCCUCCUAUGAAUAUUUUUGUUCUCCCUUUUAAGAAGAAGUGAAACAUCCACACUUUGGUCAUCCUACUUCUUGAGCUUCAUGUAGUCUGUGGAUUGCAUCUUGGGAAAUUUGAGCUUUUGAGUUAAUAUCCACUUAUCAAUGAGUACAUACCAUGUGUGUUUUUCUGUGAUUGGGUUACCUCACUCAGGAUGAUAUUUUCUAGUUCUAUCCAUUUGCCUAUGAAUCCAUUUCAUGAACUCAUUGCUUUUGAUAGCUGAAUAGUACUCCAUUGUGUAGAUGUACCACAUUUUCUGUAUCCUUUCCUCUGUUGAAGGGCAUCUGGGUUCUUUCCAGCUUCUGGCUAUUAUAGAUAGGGCGGUGGAGCAUGUGUCCAUGUAGUAUGUUAGAGCACCAUCUUGGUAUAUACCCAGGAGUCAUAUAGCUGGGUCCUCAGGUAGUGCAAUGUCCAAUUUUCUGAGGAACAUCAAGACUGAUUUCCAGAGUGGUUGUAAUCUCACCAAAAAUGGGAGAGUGUUCCUCUUUCCCCACACCCUUGCCUGAGUUUUUGAUCUUAGCCAUUCUGACUGGUAUGAGGUGGAAUCUCAGGGUUGUUCUGAUUUGCAUUUCCCUGAUGACUAAGGACAUUGAACAUUUCUUUAGGUAGUUCUCAGCCAUUUGAUAUUCCUCAGCUGAGAAUUAUUUGUUUAUCUCUGUACCCAUUUUUAAAAUAUGUUUAUUGGCUCUCUGGAGUCUAAUUUCUUGAGUUUUUGUAUACUUUGGAUAUUAGCCCUCUAUCAGAUGUAGGAAUUGUAAAGAUCCUUUCACAAUCUGUUAGUUGCCGUUUUGUCCUAAUGACAGUGUCCUUUGCCUUACAGAAGCUUUGCAGUUUUAUGAUGUCCUAUUUGUCGAUUAUUGAUCUUAGAGCAUAAGCCAUUGGUGUUCUGUUUAGGAAAUUUUCCCUUGUUCCCAUGUGUUCAAGGUUCUUCCCCACAUUUUCUUCUGUUAGUUUGAGUGUAUCUCAUUUUAUGUGAAGGUCCUUGAUCCAUUUUGACUUUAGUUUUAUACAGGGUGGUAUGAAUAGAUUGAUUUACAUUCUUCUACAUGCUGACCUCCAGUUGAACCUGCACCAUUUGUUGAAAAUGCUAUCUUUUUUCCACUGGAUGGUUUUAGCUCCUUUGUCAAAGAUCAAAUGAACAUCAGUGUGUGGAUUCAUUUCUGGGUCUUCAAUUCUAUUCCACUGAUACACUUGCCUAUGUCUGUACCAACACCAUACAGUUUUUAUCACUAUUACUCUGUUCCACACCAUCACAGAACUACUGAGCCUGAUAAACAACUUCAGCAAAGUGGCUGGGUAUAAAAUUAACUCAAACAAACCAGUAACCUUCCUCUAUUCAAAGGAUAAACAGGCUGAAAAAGAAAUUAGGGAAAUGACACCCUUCACAAUAGUCCCAAAUAACAUAAAAUACCUUAGUGUGACUCUAACUAAGCAAAUGAAAGAUCUGUAUGACAAGAACUUCAAGUCUCUGAAGAAAGAAAUUGAAGAUCUAAGAACAUGGAAUGACCUCCCAUGCUCAUGGAUUGGCAGAAUUAAUGUAGUAAAAAUGUCCAUUUUUCCAAAAGCAAUCUACAGAUUCAUUGCAAUUCCCAUCAAAAUUCCAACUUAAUUCUUCAUAAAGUUAGAAAGAGCAAUUUGCAAAUUCAUUUGGAAUAAUUAAAAAAAAGGAUAGCGAAAGCUAUCCUCAACAAUAAACGAAAUUCUGGGGGAAUCACCAUCCAUGACCUCAAGCAUUAUUACAGAGUAAUAGUGAUAACAACUGUAUCGUAUUGGUACAGAAGCAUUUUGCAUUUUCUCUGACUGUUGUCUCAAUGUUUUCUAUGGAAUCUUCUAGCCCUUAGAUUCUCUCUUGUAUCUCUUACAUUCUAUUGUUGAUGGUUGCAUCUAUGACUCCUGAUCUCUUUCCCAGAUUUUCUAUCUCCCUGGUUAUCUUUAUUGUUUCUAUUUCCAUUUUUAGAUGCUGGAUUGUUUUAUUCAAUUCUUUCUCCUGUUUGGUUGUGUUUUCCUGUAAUUCUUUAAGGGAUUUUUCUGUUUCCCCUUUAAGGGCUUCUACCUGUUUACCUGUGUUCUCCUGUAUUUCUUUAAAGGGGUAAUUAAUGUUCUUCUUAAAGUCCUCUGUCAUCAUUAUGAGAUGUGGUUUAUAUCCAAAUUUUGCUUUUUCUGUGUGUUGGGGUAUCUAAGACUUGCUGUGAUAUGAGAACUAUUCUAAUUAUGCCAAGUAGCCUUGAUUCUGUUGCUGAGGUUCUUAUGCUUGCCUCUUGCCAUCUGGUUAUCUCUGGUGUUAGUUGGUCUUGUUGUCUUUGACUGAUGCUUGUCCUUCCUGUGGGCAUGUGAGCCUGUGCUCUUAGGUGUGUCAGCAGAACAGGGAGAAUAGUUCUCUCUGGUCAGGAUUGGAUGUGGAGAGUUGUGUCAGAGGGUUAAUCCUGGUGUACUGAUGGAAAACCAGAAAUAUCCUGUCCCUAGCUGUUUCGCAGUUCCUAAGCCCUUUGGACUCUUGGUGGGUUCCCCUUCGGAUAGUUGUUGGAGCAAAAGUGAUGGUCUCUCCUGUGAACUUAGGAGUAACAGCACUCCUGGAAGAUUAGCUCUCUCCAGGCAGGAUUUAUGUACAGAAUGCUGUGCCACAGGAUGAACUCUGUAGUACAGAUGGAGACCAGAAGGGUCCUAUCCACAGUAGCUCAUGGUUCUUGUGCACUGUUGUCUUCUAGUGGGUCCCCCUUUGGCCAUAUUGGAGCAAAAUUGGUGGUCUCACCUCUGAAAUUAGGAGUGACAGUGCUCCUGGGAGUCCAGCUUUCUCUGAACAGGAUUUGGGAAAAUUCCCCAAGUUCUUGCUGGAUUUAGCCAUGCAUCUUGGAUUGCAAAAUAUUAAAUGUUGUGAAAUUAAAUGAGGAAAGAAAGAAAAAAAAGAAAAAUACCAACCAACCUUUUUUAUUGCCUGUAAGUUUGCUAUGAAUUGUAACUAGUAAAAACAGUAUACCCCCUCCAGGUAUUCCCUCCUACUGUAUCUUUACAUAGGUAGAUCUUUAUCAUAUUUUAGAAGUUAAUGUAAAUGUCCCAGUUAUCAACAAAUCUCCAGAAUUACUUGUCUCUCCAUACCACCAAUCCUGAAUUUGCACAUAUGACUCAUGCCCAGCUUUUCUAUGGACACUGGGAUCCCAACUCAGCUCAUCAUGCUCACACACACACACACACACACACACACACACACACACACACACAGGUGCGUGCGUGCGCGUGCACACAUCGAAAAACACUUUAUAAGUUAGCCAUCUCUCCAGCCCUUGAGUUAUCUCUUAAGAUGCAAAACAUAUUCUUUGGCUUGAAUGUUGGACUAUAUUUUUAGUACCUAUAAUAUACAAAUAUUGUUGAGAGUUUUAGAGAAAUGAAAACAAAUAUAGUUUAGACCCUGAGUGGAAAAGCUCAUAAUAACUAAGUUUCUUACUCUGAUAUAGAAUUUUGGGAGACAUGGCUGCCUUUUUCUUAUUCUGUGCCAUCAUGCGUGCUGAUCUCAUUUCCUGAAAUGUCAUGGUAUCUUCUUUACUAGCUUUAAAUACCUUCUCCUUUCUCCAAAGCUCGCUGCAUGGUGAUGAUCCAUGCUGUAUUUCAAAUCUGCACACAGAGAAAACAGCACGGGCUUUACAACUGUCAUCUAUAAGCAUGGUCUGUUACAAUAACAAAAAAUUCAUGCUGAAAAUAUUGGCAGCCAGCUCUCUAAAAUAGUGUUGCAGUGAAUUUCAGAUGCAAACAGAGGAAGCCUUGAAGAUGUUAGGCAAGGAAAAUCUAGAUGGGGGUUGCUGAGAAAGUGGACAAUGGUUAAGGGAUCAAAGACUAAAAACACUUUGAAAUGUUUUUUCUGCUUAAUGUAAAAAGUUUCUCAGUUUAAAAUACAGAGUAUCCCAAAAUUAAGGAUUUCUGACUUUAAAAAUACACCAAGUUAAAAAAAAUACACAAAGUUUUAGAUUCUAAACAUUUCCUAUUCCUUUAAUGUGAAGGAGGUUGAGAACACUAGUGUAGGGGCCCAAGCACUUCCAACACUGUCUUGUAAAACUACAUGGUAGCUCAUGCCUGAAAUCCUGGUACUUGGGAAGCUGAGGUAGACAGAUUGCUGUCUGUUUGAGGCCAGCCUAAGCAUACUAUGACACACUCUCUCAAAUAAACAAAAAGCAAAAUCCAGACAAACAAAACAUAUGCAUUCUCUACACUGGGCUUAAUAUAUUUCUUCUUUUUGUUUUAAAAACAGAUACACAAGAAAAAUAACAGAACUGAUUUUAACUACAGACUAAAACACUGCCAAACAGAUACCAAAAUUUACAAAUUAUUAGGUUACAAAAAAUAUUCCAGAGACAGCAAUAUCGUUAUAUUUAUCAAAUACCCAUAAAAAGCAUUGGGUUUUUCCAAAGCUGUAUCCAAGAGAAAAAAAUCAUAAGUACAAUUUUUUUCUAUUUCAGAGAACCAUGUGAUAUAUUGACUACAACUUGAAAUAGCUUUUAUGGCUGACUAUAAUGUGCUUUAGAAAUAAAACAACAGCUCAGGAAUCUAUUCUUCUCUCAGCCACUAAUUUCCUGAAGAUAAACUUCUGGUAGUUCAUCCUUGGCUCUGGAAGAAGCAAUUUUCUCUCUUUAUUGUGGGUUACUUUGAACACUGCAAUUUGGGGAGUACUUUAAAAAUGUAUAAAUGGAUUAUGUAUUUCUAUGACAGCCUACACUGUCACCUUCAAAUACCUAAAAAAUAUGACUAUUCCUGACAGUGAUUCAUCUGAGUUUUUCUUCCUUUAAAAAGUACAUACUAGAGAUGAUAAGAUUACUAGAUAUAUCUUAUAAGUAAAUUGUAAUGUAUCUCUAAAGAAUGUAGAAACAUAUGGCAUUAUUACAUAUCAAUCACUUUCCAUUCUCUAGGCCUCCUAUUUUAUCAUCAUAACUCAAGAUUCAAAAGUUAGCAGAUACCCAUAUGGACUCUGUUAUAUUUCUCUUGCCCAGGUCUUCAGUGUAAUCUAUGAGUAGACUGCAUUCUCCAAAUUUUCAAUGUGUGAUUGAUUAUAUUACCAUUACAAAGAGUAUCAGUUCCCUCCUUUCUCAGAAAAAAACACCUGCUCACCAAAAGCUAUAACAUCUCAUCUCUCCUCCAUUUCUUCCAAGCCAUCCAUGUCAUCAUUAUAGAUGCACCUAAGAUCAAUAUUCCACCAUGAGAGCCUAUUGCUUGUUACUGUUCUUUCCACAAAGUCCUCUUUUUUCUCAUCACUUGGUUUGCUCAGGCAAGAGAAGGCUCUCUUCCCUUUCCUCUUUGCACAUCUGUGAUGGAAUACUUGUUCAAGAAGUUUCCUUCUGGUUAUGGUAUGACUUCCUUAAAGAGCAGGUAUAUGAUACUUCAUUUCUAUAGUGCUUUUAAUUUUUCUUUUGUUUUUUAUUAAAAUAAUUUUUCUUUUCAAUACAUUAUCAGUUUCCUCCUUCCUCGUCUCCUCCCAAAUCCUUCACACAUCCAUACUUUCUCCUCUCUCUCUCUCUCUCUCUCUCUCUCUCUCUCUCUCACACACACACACACACACACACUUACACACACACACACACUUACACACACAUAAUGUAUAAGCAAAAGGCUAUAAGAUUAAAAAAUAUUCAAACAUUAUGAGACAAACACCUCCAAAAAUGUCGUGGUACUCUCUUUCUGAGUAGGGAGCUGAUGUAAAAGAGUGAUUUGUUUAUCUAGUGAGACUCCAUUGGAAAAAUCUAAUUUUCCCCUUGCAAGUGGCACACACUUGGAGAUAGUUUCGGAUGACACUGAAAGCUUGUGCUCAGCUAUUCUGUCAGUAACGGGACCCCACCUGCUUAGAGCAGUUCAGGUCCUGUGAGUGCACCCAGACUCCUGUGACUUCUUAUGUGCAUCAGUUCUGUUGUGUUUAGAAGGCACUGUUUCCUUCUUGUCCUCCAGCACCUCUGGUUGAACACUAAGGUGCAUUAUUAUUUGAACUCAUGAAUAACUGUAUUUUUUAAAUUUUCAUAUAAAUGUGUAUUGUGGGUUGAGUACAUUCCUCAUACUCUUCCUUUCCCCUCCACCUCCCCCACUUUGGCUACAACUGUGCACAUAGUCUCACCUCUACUUCCAAGUCAAAUAUUCACACAUCAUCUUUAUCUAUUAAUAUAUAAAAUCUUAGAACCACAAAAAGAGGAAAAACAUAUAAGAUUUUUUUCCUUUUGAGACUGACUUAAUUCUCUUGAUAUGAUUACCUACAGUGGCUUCUAUUUUCCAAGUUCAUUAUUCUUUGUGCCCGAAAGUAAACCAUCGUGAAUUCAAAUCAAUGUUCGCUUUAUCCAUCCCUAUUAGUGAACAUGUAGUUUGGUUCCAUGAUGAAGUUGUUAUGCAUAGCACAACAGUAACGUGCAAGCAUCUCAGUGAUGCGCUCAGUUGGGAGUCUUUGAGUAGAAACCCCAGAGUGGUAAAGCUGAGUCAUAUCAUAAAUCUAGUUUUAAUUUUAUUAGCAAUCUCCUCACUGACUUCUAGAGUAGCUUGAGGAGUUUAUGUUUUACCAGCAAGAUAUAAGACUUCCUUUCUUGUACACAUCCCCAACACUUGUUGGUUUUGUUUUGUUUUGUUUUGUUUUGGCUUUUUUUUUUUUUUGGCUUUUUUUUUGGCCUUUUUUUUUUAUUGAGUAUUUCUUAUUUACAUUUCGAGUGUUAUUCCCUUUCCCGGUUUCCGGGCAAACAUCCCCCUAAUCCCUCAGCCUCCCCUCCUUUAUGGGUGUUCCCCUCCCCAUCCUCCCCCCAUUGCCGCCCUCCCCCCAUAGUCUAGUUCACUGGGGGUUCAGUCUUAGCAGGACCCAGGGCUUCCCCUUCCACUGGUGCUCUUACUAGGAUAUUCAUUGCUACCUAUGGGGUCAGAGUCCAGGGUCAGUCCAUGGUUUUGUUUUCUUAAUGACUACCUUGGUAACUGCUGUGAGAUAAAAUGUCAAUGUAGUUCUGAUUUACAUUUCUCUUCUGGCUAAUGAAGUUUAUUGAUCAUUUUUUACUCAACUGUCUUUCAUGUCCUUAGUCCUCUUAUUGAUUGUCUUGCUUUUGUAUUUUCUAGACAUUAACCCAUUGUCAAAUACAUAGCUGGCAAAAGUUUCCCCCUCUCUGUAUGAGGCCUUUGCACUCUGUUAACUCUUUCUUUGGAUGCAAAAGCACUUUUUCAUUUCAUGCUGUCUUCCAAAGCUCUAUGUUCCACUCCAAGAGUCAAUAUUAUUUCACAUGUAAUAAUAUCGAACAUUCAUUGACAAAAGACAAGUGAGUGCUGUUGAGAAAGUCCUUGAGUAGUCCUGUAUCUUGAAGUAGUUUUCCUACUUCCUCCUCCAAUACUUUCUAAGUUUCAAGUUUUACAUCGAGGUCGCUGAUAUAUUUGAAGUUUUCUUUUUACACAGAAUGAAGUAUAGGUAUGGACUUUCAUUUUCCUAUAAGUGGAAAUCCAGUCUUCCGACAGUAUCUGUUGAAGAUAUUGUCUUGUUUUUUCCAUCAAUAUGUAUGUUGUGCAUUUUUGUCAAGAACCAGAUGACUGUAACUGCCUGAAUUUAAGUUUGUGCCUCCUUUUCUACUGAAUAACAUUCUCUAAACAAACACCUGAAUUUCUUUCUCUUCUACAGAGCCUGCAUACUUAGGAUUGUAAUGAACUACAUGACUGUGUCAUAUAGACAUGGAUUUUUUUGUUGCCUUCUGACAUAAUGCCUAUGGUGCUUGGCUCUCUGCAUGUGCCCUGCCUUCCUCCUUGGAUAGGAACCAUGGUGUUGAUGACACAUCCUUGUUUCUCUAUGGUGCUUUGUCCCUUUCAGAGCCUUUCACAGGCUGCAUCUUGUUUGCCACUCAUGGAAACCCAAGGAAGGACAAGAAAGAGCAGAGAAUGCCACUUACCAAUCCCCACCUCUCCUCAUCACUUAGUACAAUAUUGAUUAUGGGCUUUAGAGAGCAUCUCAUGUAGACCAGGCUGCCCUUAAAUUUUAUAUGUAGUUAAGGAUAUCACUUUUGACUUCCUGAUUCUCCUGCUUUCAUCGUCCAAGAGCUGUGGUUAUAGGCAUAUGACACUAUACCAGCAAAACGAUUUGCUUAAAUUCAGAUGAAGUGGAGAGCUCUCAGCUCCUCCUGCACCAAACCUGCCUGGAUGCUGCCAUGUCCUCACCUUGAUGAUAAUGGACUGAACCUCUGAAUCUAUAAACCAGCCCCAAUUAAAUGUUGUCCUUUAUAAGUGUUUAAAUUUUUUUUAAAAAUAAAGACAGCUUGACACACCUGAAAA